GGGGUGGUACAGCUGCCGCUGGGGUCUCCUUACCUGCCCCACACACGGAGGGAGACCUGAGUGGCGGAUGGACAUAGUUUGAGGGCCGGUGUUGCAAACUUAUGAAAAGAAAAGAAUUUUGAGUCAGUAACAUUUUUGCAGGCCCCAUAAGCAGAUCGCCUCCCCACCACCUAAAUCCCGAGUCCUUUCCUUUUCCCACUGGUUUUAGGAAGUGGCAGCCUGCUCCCAGGGCUGCUUGUUGAGGCUGCCUCCCACACUCUUUCUCCUUACUGCCUCUGCAGGGAGGAUAAGACAGAGCAGCUUGUGGACACCAGACAUGAGGUGGACCAGCUGGUGCUGGAACUGCAGAAAGUUAAGCAGGAGAACAUCCAGCUAGCAGCAGACGCCCGGUCUGCUCGUGCCUAUCGAGACGAGCUGGAUUCCCUGCGGGAGAAGGCGAACCGUGUGGAGAGGCUGGAGCUGGAGCUGACCCG
rnacentral:sRNA from 1 species